AAUGAACGUUGGCGGCGUGGAUUAGGCAUGCAAGUCGAGCGAGAACCGUAGCGAUACGGGGAAAGCGGCGAAAGGGAGAGUAACACGUGGAUAACCUACCCUUGGGUUCGGGAUAGCCGCGGGAAACUGCGGGUAAUACCGGAUAACGUCUUUGGACCAAAGGUGUGAUUCCGCCCGAGGAGGGGUCCGCGUCCUAUUAGCUAGUUGGUAGGGUAACGGCCUACCAAGGCAAAGAUGGGUACGGGGUGUGAGAGCAUGCCCCCGCUCACUGGGACUGAGACACUGCCCAGACACCUACGGGUGGCUGCAGUCGAGGAUCUUCGGCAAUGGGCGCAAGCCUGACCGAGCGACGCCGCGUGCGGGAUGAAGGCCCUCGGGUUGUAAACCGCUGUCAGAGGGGAGGAAAUGCUGGUGGGUUCUCCCAUCAGUUUGACCUAUCCUCAGAGGAAGGACGGGCUAAGUUCGUGCCAGCCGCCGCGGUAAAAC
rnacentral:rRNA from 1 species